GAGGCUUUAGUAAAAUUAUUACAUAACUUUGUCAAAGUUAAAUUAUAAGUUUAAAUCUUAUACCCCUCU